rnacentral:rRNA from 1 species
GAUGAACGCUGGCGGCGUGCCUAAUACAUGCAAGUCGAGCGAAUGGAUUAAGAGCUUGCUCUUAUGAAGUUAGCGGCGGACGGGUGAGUAACACGUGGGUAACCUGCCCAUAAGACUGGGAUAACUCCGGGAAACCGGGGCUAAUACCGGAUAACAUUUUGAACCGCAUGGUUCGAAAUUGAAAGGCGGCUUCGGCUGUCACUUAUGGAUGGACCCGCGUCGCAUUAGCUAGUUGGUGAGGUAACGGCUCACCAAGGCAACGAUGCGUAGCCGGACUGAGAGGGUGAUCGGCCACGCUGGGACUGAGACACGGCCCAGACUCGUACGGGAGGCAGCAGUAGGGAAUCUUCCGCAAUGGACGAAAGUCUGACGGAGCAACGCCGCGUGAGUGAUGAAGGCUUUCGGGUCGUAAAACUCUGUUGUUAGGGAAGAACAAGUGCUAGUUGAACAAGCUGGCACCUUGACGGUACCUAACCAGAAAGCCACGGCUAACUACGUGCCAGCCGCCGCGGUAA